AGGUAGGAUGGCCGAGAGAAGGCGGUGGCUUGUAGCUCCAACGACAGAGGUGUUCCUCUUCUUACCA
rnacentral:tRNA from 1 species